rnacentral:rRNA from 1 species
UACAGAGGUCUCAAGCGUUGUUCGGAUUCAUUGGGCGUAAAGGGUGCGUAGGUGGCGGGGUAAGUCAGGUGUGAAAUCUCGGGGCUCAACCCCGAAACUGCACUUGGUACUGCCUUGCUCGAGUACUGGAGAGGAGAUUGGAAUUUACGGUGUAGCAGUGAAAUGCGUAGAUAUCGUAAGGAAGACCAGUGGCGAAGGCGAAUCUCUGGACAGUUACUGACACUGAGGCACGAAGGCCAGGGGAGCAAACGGG